rnacentral:misc_RNA from 1 species
GUUAAUAUUAUCGAAUUACAUUAAAAUGUUAGAGUAAAACGAUUUUUUUUAUGUAACAAAAUUGCUUUUAUUUUUGGACUCUGAUUUGCAAAAGUUAUGAAUCAACGAGGGCAAGAAGUAUAAAUAAGUAUAUCUUGAUAUACCAUAUAAAUGUAACUUUAAAAAUAAUAUAAAUGAAACUUUAAAGAUCAAGAUGGCAACUGAAUUGCAGGACUGGAGAAAAAAUAUUUUAGAGCAACUUGAAAAAAGGAAGAUCAAAGAAGCAAAUCCUUUCCAAGAAUUAAUAAAUUCGCAUGGAGAAUUACUACGAGGCUUCAGUGUUUACAAAUUAAGAAAUUCUGAACUUGAGUUGCAAACAUACCAACUUAAACAGGAAAUUCUGGAGUUGCAAGGAAGAAUUGCUGUUGGAGGUAAUGGUUCAUUUAACAGUGAUAAAGAGUUGAAAAUAUAUAAACUUCAAGAGGAGUUAACAGAAUUGCACCGAACAAAAGGAGAGCAUGCUCAAAAAAUAAUUCAACUAACCAUCGAUUUAAAAGCAAAAGAUGAUUUAAUUCUACAAAAAGAUUUAAUUAUUCGAGAAAAUCAAAAUCAAAUGGAUAGUGUUCUUUCAGAAAAUGGACGGCUAAAUUCACUAAUUGCUGACUUGGAUGCUGCUAACCAGGCAAUUAAGGAUGAGCACCAGGCUCUUCAAAUGCUUUGCAAUUCAACAGAAGAAAAGUAUAAAAAUCUUCAGUUUGAAUACCAAGAGUUGGUACAAAGGUGUAUGCAUCAAAAAGCAUUAGAAGCAGAUCUUCUUAACAUGCAAAAUGAAGUUUUGGCUAGUAGGAGGCAACAAAAGCUUCAACAAGAAUUGAUCGAUGCAGCAAACGAACCUAUUUUUCUACCACCUGUAUCACUAAGCCCUGAGAAUGGAAAGAGAUCUUCAAGCUAUUCUAGCCUAGGAAUGAUCUGCUUAACUUCUGUCCCAGAUCGACCCACACAAUCAACAGAGAAAAAUUUGGAAAAAGGAUAUCAAACUUUCUGGUUUUAUUCUACUUUGCAGGAGUGCCAUGAAGGAGAAGUCAUGACAGUGCGUUUUAGUCCUUCUGGAAAAUACUUUGUAACAGGUGGUUCAGAUCGAAAAGUUAAAAUCUGGGAAAUAGAUGGAAGAGGUGCAUUUAAGGAGUUAGCAACUUUAACUGGUUGUCGACAAUCUGUAACUUGUACAAGAUUUGAUCUUUUGGAAAAAUUGAUCUUGGCUUCGUCAAAUGAUAAUGCUUGUUGGAUAUGGAGUAUAAAUGAUUUAAGAUUACGACAUACUUUGACAGGACACAGCAAUAAAGUAAUGACAGCAAAGUUUCUUGGAACAGAUUCGAGCAAAAUAGCGUCUGGAAGUUAUGAUAGAACAAUAAAAGCACUAAAACAAUCUUUGCAGGAUCCAGUUGUAAUGAUCUUGUUACAUCAGACAUUGCAGGGACUACUAUCAUUAGUGGCCAUUUUGAUAAAAAAAUUCGCUUCUGGGAUAUAAGAUGUGAUCAAAACUCUAAUGAGAUUCAGCUUCAAGGCAAAGUUGCAUCUUUAGACUUGUCCCAAGAUAUGAAUUAUCUUUUGGCUUGCACGCGAGAUGACUCACUAAAACUGAUUGAUUUAAG